AAGUCGAACGGCAGCGCGAGAGAGCUUGCUCUCUUGGCGGCGAGUGGCGCACGGGUGAGUAAUAUAUCGGAACGUGCCCGAUAGCGGGGGAUAACUACUCGAAACAGUGGCUAAUACCGCAUACGCCCUACGGGGGAAAGGGGGGGAUCGCAAGACCUCUCACUAUUGGAGCGGCCGAUAUCGGAUUAGCUAGUUGGUGGGGUAAAGGCUCACCAAGGCUACGAUCCGUAGCUGGUUUGAGAGGACGACCAGCCACACUGGGACUGAGACACGGCCCAAACUCCUACGGGAGGCAGCAGUGGGGAAUUUUGGACAAUGGGGGAAACCCUGAUCCAGCCAUCCCGCGUGUAUGAUGAAGGCCUUCGGGUUGUAAAGUACUUUUGGCAAAGAAUAAAAGGUAUCCCCUAAUACGGGAUACUGCUGACGGUAUCUGCAGAAUAAGCACCGGCUAACUACGUGCCAGCAGCCGCGGUAAUACGUAGGGUGCAAGCGUUAAUCGGAAUUACUGGGCGUAAAGCGUGUGUAGGCGGUUCGGAAAGACAGAUGUGAAAUCCCAGGGCUCAACCUUGGAACUGCAUUUUUAACUGCCGAGCUAGAGUAUGUCAGAGGGGGGUAGAAUUCCACGUGUAGCAGUGAAAUGCGUAGAUAUGUGGAGGAAUACCGAUGGCGAAGGCAGCCCCCUGGGAUAAUACUGACGCUCAGACACGAAAGCGUGGGGAGCAAACAGGAUUAGAUACCCUGGUAGUCCACGCCCUAAACGAUGUCAACUAGCUGUUGGGGCCGUUAGGCCUUAGUAGCGCAGCUAACGCGUGAAGUUGACCGCCUGGGCAGUACGGUCGCAAGAUUAAAACUCAAAGGAAUUGACGGGGACCCGCACAAGCGGUGGAUGAUGUGGAUUAAUUCGAUGCAACGCGAAAAACCUUACCUACCCUUGACAUGUCUGGAAAGCCGAAGAGAUUUGGCCGUGCUCGCAAGAGAACCGGAACACAG
rnacentral:rRNA from 1 species